rnacentral:rRNA from 1 species
GUUCUCCCCGAAAGCUAUUUAGGUAGCGCCUCGUGAAUUCAUCUCCGGGGGUAGAGCACUGUUUCGGCUAGGGGGCCAUCCCGGCUUACCAACCCGAUGCAAACUGCGAAUACCGGAGAAUGUUAUCACGGGAGACACACGGCGGGUGCUAACGUCCGUCGUGAAGAGGGAAACAACCCAGACCGCCAGCUAAGGUCCCAAAGUCAUGGUUAAGUGGGAAACGAUGUGGGAAGGCCCAGACAGCCAGGAUGUUGGCUUAGAAGCAGCCAUCAUUUAAAGAAAGCGUAAUAGCUCACUGGUCGAGUCGGCCUGCGCGGAAGAUGUAACGGGGCUAAACCAUGCACCGAAGCUGCGGCAGCGAACGUAUCACUUAAAGCGAUUCAGCGGGUUACGAUUGACGGAGCGAAGCGACGUCAAAGCGUAUACAAAGUCGAGUCGGUUUAAGGAUACGUUCGUUGGGUAGGGGAGCGUUCUGUAAGCCCGUGAAGGUGGCCUGUGAGGGUUGCUGGAGGUAUCAGAAGUGCGAAUGCUGACAUAAGUAACGAUAAAGCGGGUGAAAAGCCCGCUCGCCGGAAGACCAAGGGUUCCUGUCCAACGUUAAUCGGGGCAGGGUGAGUCGACCCCUAAGGCGAGGCCGAAAGGCGUAGUCGAUGGGAAACGGGUUAAUAUUCCCGUACUUGGUGUUACUGCGAAGGGGGGACGGAGAAGGCUAUGUUGGCCGGGCGACGGUUGUCCCGGUUUAAGCGUGUAGGUGUGUGU